AUUGAACGCUGGCGGCAGGCCUAACACAUGCAAGUCGAGCGGAUGAAGGGAGCUUGCUCCUGGAUUCAGCGGCGGACGGGUGAGUAAUGCCUAGGAAUCUGCCUGGUAGUGGGGGAUAACGUCUGGAAACGGGCGCUAAUACCGCAUACGUCCUGAGGGAGAAAGUGGGGGAUCUUCGGACCUCACGCUAUCAGAUGAGCCUAGGUCGGAUUAGCUAGUUGGUGGGGUAAAGGCCUACCAAGGCGACGAUCCGUAACUGGUCUGAGAGGAUGAUCAGUCACACCGGAACUGAGACACGGUCCAGACUCCUACGGGAGGCAGCAGUGGGGAAUAUUGGACAAUGGGCGAAAGCCUGAUCCAGCCAUGCCGCGUGUGUGAAGAAGGUCUUCGGAUUGUAAAGCACUUUAAGUUGGGAGGAAGGGCAGUAAGUUAAUACCUUGCUGUUUUGACGUUACUAACAGAAUAAGCACCGGCUAACUUCGUG
rnacentral:rRNA from 1 species